rnacentral:lncRNA from 1 species
CUCCAUAAACAGCUCUCAUCUCCAUGACAUUUCUUACUGUAGACCAGUUGACACCAAUUCCAUUCAGAUAUGAGCGAUAAAUAACAUUUUUCCAAUGCUUGUAAUCAGCAGUGAAUUCCACUGGAGCAGCUCUUCCAUAAAAACCAGACUGGGAGUCUAACCAAUAAGGUGCUUUCUCCAACCUCAGUGGCCAUUGCUCAGGCCAGACCGAUCCACGCUCUGAUGCUCCUUCGGGCACUUUGUGCAUGCAAUCCUGUAGUGAUAUAUUCCUGAAGAUAUGAAUGUUGGAAUAUGUCAUGAAACUUAGUAGAGAUCCUUCAUAAAAAAGGAAUCAUCUUCAACUAAACACUACCAACGCCACUUCUUUAGGGUUUUUUUUCUUAAAAAGGAGGUUUUUCAAUGAAAAAAAUCACUUCUGAAAUUUAUAUGAUUCUUUAGUUGGGUUUUUUCAAAAAACAAUUAUAUGAAUAAAAAAAUGAAAUUUAGCUUCUAGAAGUACAAAUACAUUUUUGGAGAGUCAUUGUUUUGAGGAUCUUAAACAAACAUCCCAUAAAGGUCAAGCCUAGAAGAAAGGGUAUGAAAAAAUUAUACUUCAAUUUACUUUAGCAUUAAGAAUCUUAUUCUUUUUCUCAAGUUAUAUACACACACAGAAUGGCUAUAAUAGGGAGUUUUACAAUUUCUCUAAGCACCCUUGUUGGGGAAUAGGUUAUGACAACAUGCUCUUUUAAAUCUAGUGCUAGGCAUGGUAACCUCCAAGACCAACAAAUUACUAUUGUAAAACUUCUAAGAAAAAAAUCAUUUAUCUCCAAACAAAAAUAUGCUCAUGAAUUUUGACUAGAAGAAACUGAUUUUAAGUAUAUGUCAACAAUAAUUACUUACAAAACUCAUACUUUUUUGUAUAUAGACUCCAGUUCUUUUGGAUUUUUGUAAUGUUAUUGCCAUUUUUUAGAUUUCUGGGUAUUCUUACUAGGAAAGUUUCAAAACAUUAGUUCCCUUCCUCCUAUUUGAGAAGGUGAUUUUAAUUUGUCUAUUGCCAAAACAAGAAAAGUACCAGGCCUUAUUUGGGUCAUCAGAUUCAUUGCACAUUGGCGGCUCAUUUUUCAGUCUUCUGUAAUAGCAUUCAUUGUCGGUUGGUUUUCUAUAUAUUGCUGCUGCAAUUCCAUUCAAUUUGUCCUUUCCAAUUACCACCAGAUCCCAGCACAUUGACUUUGUAAUUUUACUCAUAUCUGCAACAAAAUGAUUUUCUAUAAAAUCAACCCAUAGGUUCAUCUUUUAGAGUGACAUGAACUUGGAUUUAGUGGAUUUUUACCUUUCCAAAUCCCAACAUCUUCUGGAUCCUUUUGAUACACUGGAGUAGCAGACCACACAAAGUAACCUCCGGGUCGCAAGACACGAUUAAGCUCUAAGAGUAGCUUGCCACCUGCAUAAUUCAACCAGCAGAUUAUUACUAGAUGAGUCAAGUAUAGAUGGGAAAAUAAAAAUACUGAGAAUUUUUCUUAACCAACAUGCUUAUUACACCUUCUUCAUGCCAAGGGACUCUACAGCGUGCACAGUGGAGUAGAUCAAAGACCGAACCAGGGAAGGGCAAUCUUUUGGUUCCCAUGACACCUAGUGUGGCAGGAAUUCCCCGUUCCAGCGCAAAUUGUACUUGUGCCUCAUGCACAUCUUUAGGAGCAAAUGACAUGGUAAGAACGUCUUUUUCAAACAAAUAGCCUCCAAAACUGGCUACACCACACCCAACGUCCAAUAUCACACGGCUUCUUUUCCCCCAUGCAAUACUAGGAAGAGACUGCAUUGUCACACAAAUCACCCAAUUUAGGGAGAGAAAAUAUAUAUGAAUAAAAGGAGGAUGGGCUGGCUAAGACAUGAUUAAUUUUCGAGACAAUGUAGUAAAAAAUUUACUGAACUCACUGCAUCUAAAGGUCACAGAAAGUCGGAAACAAAUUUAUCAAAAAGAAGGAAGUGUUAUGUGGCGUAUUGAAAUUAAAUUGAAAGCGAAAAAAAGAGAGACAGUUCAUUCUAUAAUGCAGAACUUACACUUGGAAAUGUUUGCAACUAACUAGAGAAGCUUACAGGUUUGAUGUGAAGGAAAAGUAGGACAAGAGAUGGAUAAUGUAAUGGAUGUUAACUUGAUAAGUUGCAUGACCAAUGAGAAGUAGGUGCAUUCAAAAGUAGAAUACAGAAAUGUAUACACACAAAAAAAGCCGAAAGUUAUUAAUUAGCAUUUGGAAGAGGGGAAUUUUAGAGAAUUCUUGGUAACCUGGGAACCAGAAUACAGAAAAGAACAAAGAAUAUCUUACCCUCCAUAAACAGCUCUCAUCUCCAUGACAUUUCUUACUGUAGACCAGUUGACACCAAUUCCAUUCAGAUAUGAGCGAUAAAUAACAUUUUUCCAAUGCUUGUAAUCAGCAGUGAAUUCCACUGGAGCAGCUCUUCCAUAAAAACCAGACUGGGAGUCUAACCAAUAAGGUGCUUUCUCCAACCUCAGUGGCCAUUGCUCAGGCCAGACCGAUCCACGCUCUGAUGCUCCUUCGGGCACUUUGUGCAUGCAAUCCUGUAGUGAUA